rnacentral:rRNA from 1 species
UACGGGGGGGGGCAAGCGUUGUUCGGAAUUACUGGGCGUAAAGGGCGCGUAGGCGGCCUGCUAAGUCACACGUGAAAUCCCUCGGCUCAACCGGGGAACUGCGUGUGAUACUGGCGGGCUUGAAUUCGGGAGAGGGAUGCAGAAUUCCAGGUGUAGCGGUGAAAUGCGUAGAUAUUCGCAAGAACACCAGUGGCGAAGGCGGCUCACUGGCCCGAUACUGACGCUGAGGCACGAAAGCGUGGGGAGCAAACAGG